CCGUGCUUGGCCGAGCGGUCAGGCGCCAGUCUUCCACACUGGGUAGGCCGGUUCGACUCCGGCAGCACGGUCCA
rnacentral:tRNA from 1 species